rnacentral:rRNA from 1 species
AGCAGCCGCGGUAAUUCCAGCUCCAAUAGCGUAUAUUAAAGUUGUUGCAGUUAAAAAGCUCGUAGUUGAAUUUCGGGAUCAGUACGUUGGUCGUGCCUUCGGUACGUACUGAUGUUACUGGUUUCUACCUUCUGAAGAACCGUCAUGUCAUUAAUUUGGUGUGGCGGGGAAUCAGGACUGUUACUUUGAAAAAUUAGAGUGUUUAAAGCAGGCUCGCGCUUGAAUACAUUAGCAUGGAAUAAUGAAAUAGGACGUUCGAUCCUAUUUUGUUGGUUUCUAGGAUUGACGUAAUGAUUAAUAGGGAUAGUUGGGGGCAUUAGUAUUCAAUUGUCAGAGGUGAAAUUCUUGGAUUUAUUGAAGACUAACUACUGCGAAAGCAUUUGCCAAGGAUGUUUUCAUUAAUCAAGAACGAAAGUUAGGGGAUCGAAGACGAUCAGAUACCGUCGUAGUCUUAACCAUAAACUAUGCCGACUAGGGAU